rnacentral:rRNA from 1 species
UUCCGGUUGAUCCUGCCGGACCCUACUGCUAUCGGGGUGGGGCUAAAACAUGCGUGUCUUCCAAGCCAAACGUGGCAUACGGCUCAGUAACACGUGGCCAAUUCACCCUUGGGACAGAGACAACCCCGGGAAACUGGGGCUAAUCCCUGAUAAGCGAUAAGGCCUGGAAUGGUUUAUCACCCAAAAGAAGAGGCGCCCAAGGACAAAGCCGCGACCGAUCAGGCAGUUGGUAGGGCAAUGGCCUACCAAACCUAUAACCGGUACGGGCCGUGAGAGCGGAAGCCCCGAGAUGGAUACUGAGACAAGGAUCCAGGCCCUACGGGGCGCAGCAGUUGCGAAAACUCCACAAUGCACGAAAGUGUGAUGGGGCUACCCCGAGUGCCGUCCGCUGAGGAUGGCUUUUCUCUGCUGUAAGGAGGCGGAGGAAUAAGGAGAGGGCAAGCCUGGUGUCAGCCGCCGCGGUAAUACCAGCUCUCCGAGUGGUGGGGAUGAUUAUUGGGCCUAAAGCGUUCGUAGCCGGCUUGGCAAGUCUCCUGUUAAAUUCAGCGACCUAAUCGUUGAGCCGCGGGAGACACUACUAGGCUAGGAGGCGGGAGAGGCCGACGGUAUUCUCGGGGUAGGGGUGAAAUCCUAUAAUCCCGGGAGGACCACCAGUGGCGAAGGCUGUCGGCUAGAACGCGCCCAACGGUGAGGGAUGAAAGCUGGGGGAGCGAACCGGAUUAGAUACCCGGGUAGUCCCAGCUGUAAACGAUGCAGGCUAGGUGUUGGAGCGGCUACGAGCCGCUUCAGUGCCGCAGCGAAGGCAUUAAGCCCGCCGCCUGGGGAGUACGGCCGCAAGGCUGAAACUUAAAGGAAUUGGCGGGGGAGCACCACAAGGGGUGAAGCUUGCGGUUUAAUUGGAGUCAACGCCGGA